AUUGAACGCUGGCGGCAGGCCUAACACAUGCAAGUCGAGCGGCAGCGGAAAGUAGCUUGCUACUUUGCCGGCGAGCGGCGGACGGGUGAGUAAUGUCUGGGAAACUGCCUGAUGGAGGGGGAUAACUACUGGAAACGGUAGCUAAUACCGCAUAACGUCGCAAGACCAAAGAGGGGGACCUUCGGGCCUCUUGCCAUCAGAUGUGCCCAGAUGGGAUUAGCUAGUAGGUGGGGUAACGGCUCACCUAGGCGACGAUCCCUAGCUGGUCUGAGAGGAUGACCAGCCACACUGGAACUGAGACACGGUCCAGACUCCUACGGGAGGCAGCAGUGGGGAAUAUUGCACAAUGGGCGCAAGCCUGAUGCAGCCAUGCCGCGUGUAUGAAGAAGGCCUUCGGGUUGUAAAGCACUUUCAGCGGGGGGGAAGGUGUUGAGGUUAAUAACCUCAGCAAUUGACGUUACCCGCAGAAGAAGCACCGGCUAACUCCGUGCCAGCCGCCGCCGUAACAC
rnacentral:rRNA from 1 species